GAUGAACGCUGGCGGCGUGCCUAAUACAUGCAAGUCGAGCGAACAGAUAAGGAGCUUGCUCCUUUGACGUUAGCGGCGGACGGGUGAGUAACACGUGGGUAACCUACCUAUAAGACUGGAAUAACUCCGGGAAACCGGGGCUAAUGCCGGAUAACAUUUAGAACCGCAUGGUUCUAAAGUGAAAGAUGGUUUUGCUAUCACUUAUAGAUGGACCCGCGCCGUAUUAACUAGUUGGUAAGGUAACGGCUUACCAAGGCAACGAUACGUAGCCGACCUGAGAGGGUGAUCGGCCACACUGGAACUGAGACACGGUCCAGACUCCUACGGGAGGCAGCAGUAGGGAAUCUUCCGCAAUGGGCGAAAGCCUGACGGAGCAACGCCGCGUGAGUGAUGAAGGUCUUCGGAUCGUAAAACUCUGUUAUUAGGGAAGAACAAAUGUGUAAGUAACUGUGCACGUCUUGACGGUACCUAAUCAGAAAGCCACGGCUAACUACGUG
rnacentral:rRNA from 1 species